AGCGAAAUUUAGUAGCGAAGUAGCUGAUUUCACACUGUCAAGAAAAGUCUCUAUCGAGGUUAAAGGUACCCGUACCGCAAACCGACACAGGUGGGUGAGGAGAGUAUCCUAAGGCCAGCGAGAGAACUGUUGUUAAGGAACUCGGCAAAAUGACCCCGUAACUUAGGGAUAAGGGGUGCCACCAUCAGGUGGCCGCAGAGAAUAGGCCCAAGCGACUGUUUACCAAAAACAUAGGUUUCUGCUAAGUCGCAAGACGAUGUAUAGGAGCUGACGCCUGCCCGGUGC
rnacentral:rRNA from 1 species